GGCGAUAGGCUUGAAGUGAUUCGCUCCGGAACAGUGUCAGACGGGAGUUGACUGGGGCGGUACAUCUGUUAACGAUGACGCAGGUGUCUAAGGUAAGCUCAGCGAGGACCAGAAACCUUCGCCUUAGAAGUAAACGGGCCACCAAGGCUAACUUGGAUUUUGAAUUUCCAGUAAGGAAUUAGAAACCCGGAAAAGCCGUGGCUUAUUCGAUCUUUUGGAUGGGUUGGAUUUCAUCCAAGAAGGUUUCAGAAAAGUUACCCCCGGGGAUAAUUUGGUUUUGGCCCAACCAAAGCUUUCCUAAGGGAAGGUUGGUUUUUUAGAUCUUUGGGAGUUGGUUUUUUCUUACCCAUUGGGAAACGCAGAAAUUCCCCCAGGCGUUGGAAUUGUUUCACCCCACCCAUAUAGGGAAACGGGAGAGCUGGGUUUUAGGCCCUUGGUGAGGCCAGGUUAGUUUUUACCCUACUGAUGACAAGUCGUUGCGAUAGUAAUCCUGCUCAGUACGAGAGGAACCGCGGGAUCAGACAUUUGGUUCAUGCGCUCGGCUGAAAGGCCGGUGGCGCGAAGCUAGCAUCUGCAAGAUUAUGACUGAACGCCUCUAAGUCAGAAUCUUUUCUAGUCAUUGGCAACGAUAAGUUGCGU
rnacentral:ncRNA from 1 species